rnacentral:rRNA from 1 species
CCUACGGGAGGCAGCAGUGGGGAAUAUUGGACAAUGGGGGCAACCCUGAUCCAGCCAUGCCGCGUGUGUGAAGAAGGCCCUCGGGUUGUAAAGCACUUUCAGUGAGGAAGAACGCCUGGUGGUUAAUACCCAUCAGGAAAGACAUCACUCACAGAAGAAGCACCGGCUAACUCCGUGCCAGCAGCCGCGGUAAUACGGAGGGUGCGAGCGUUAAUCGGAAUUACUGGGCGUAAAGCGCGCGUAGGUGGCUUGAUAAGCCGGUUGUGAAAGCCCCGGGCUCAACCUGGGAACGGCAUCCGGAACUGUCAAGCUAGAGUGCAGGAGAGGAAGGUAGAAUUCCCGGUGUAGCGGGGAAAUGCGUAGAGAUCGGGAGGAAUACCAGUGGCGAAGGCGGCCUUCUGGACUGACACUGCCACUGAGGUGCGAAAGCGUGGGUAGCAAACAGGAUUAGAUACCCGAGUAGUC